UACAGAGGGUGCGAGCGUUAAUCGGAAUUACUGGGCGUAAAGCGCACGUAGGCGGCUUGGUAUGUCGGGUGUGAAAUCCCCGGGCUCAACCUGGGAACUGCAUCCGAAACUGCCUUGCUAGAGUAUGGGAGAGGGAAGUGGAAUUUCCGGUGUAGCGGUGAAAUGCGUAGAUAUCGGGAGGAACACCAGUGGCGAAAGCGCUUGACUGGGCCGUAACUGACGCUGAGGAACGAAAGCCAGGGGAGCGAAAGGG
rnacentral:rRNA from 1 species